GACGAACGCUGGCGGCGUGCUUAAUACAUGCAAGUCGAGCGGACAGGCCCUGCUCUUGCUGCGUGCUCGAGUGGCGAACGGGUGAGUAACACGUGAGUAACCUGCCCUUGACUUUGGGAUAACUUCAGGAGACUGGGGCUAAUACCGGGUAUGAGCUCCUGCUGCAUGGUGGGGGUUGGAAAGUUUCGGCGGUGGGGGAUGGACUCGCGGCUUAUCAGCUUGUUGGUGUGGUAGUUGCUUACCAGGGCUGUGACGGGUAGCCGGCCUGAGAGGGUGAACGGCCACAUUGCGACUGAGAUACGGACCAGACGGCAACCGGAGGCAGUAGGCGGGAAUAUUGCAGAACGGGGGGAAGUCAGAGGUAGAAAUGUCGCGUGCGGAAUAAUGUGUUACUGGUUGUAAACAGAUUUGGAAGGUGAUGAACAGGGAGUGACGGUAAUGGGUCAGGAAGCAACGGCUAACUACGUG
rnacentral:rRNA from 1 species